AAUAGCAACAAUAUCAUCUUGAUUACACCAGCAGCCAUAUCACCCUGCAGCACACAACUGACAACCCACUGCAGCUAAGCAAGUGUGAGCCUGGCCAGUACCUGGAUGGGAGACCUCCUGGGGAAAACUAAGGUUGCUGCUGCUA
rfam:Lepisosteus oculatus linkage group LG14, whole genome shotgun sequence.